GACGAACCGUACAAACGUUACUCGGAAUUACUGGGCUUAAAGGGUGCGUAGGCUGCGCGGAAAGUUGGGUGUGAAAGCCCUCAGCUCAACUGGGGAAUUGCAUUCAAAACUACCGUGCUCGAGGGAGACAGAGGUAAGCGGAACUCAAGGUGGAGCGGUGAAAUGCGUUGAUAUCUUGAGGAACACCGGUGGCGAAGGCGGCUUACUGGGUCUCUUCUGACGCUGAGGCACGAAAGCUAAGGUAGCAAACGGG
rnacentral:rRNA from 1 species